rnacentral:rRNA from 1 species
CAUGGCUCAGGACGAACGCUGGCGGCGUGCCUAAUACAUGCAAGUAGAACGCUGAAGGAGGAGCUUGCUUCUCUGGAUGAGUUGCGAACGGGUGAGUAACGCGUAGGUAACCUGCCUGGUAGCGGGGGAUAACUAUUGGAAACGAUAGCUAAUACCGCAUAAUAGUAGAUGUUGCAUGACAUUUGCUUAAAAGGUGCAAUUGCAUCACUACCAGAUGGACCUGCGUUGUAUUAGCUAGUUGGUGGGGUAACGGCUCACCAAGGCGACGAUACAUAGCCGACCUGAGAGGGGGAUCGCCACCACUGGGACUAAGAAACGCCCCAGAUCCCUCCGG